GGACCCGCACAAGCAGUGGAGCAUGUGGUUUAAUUCGACGCAACGCGAAGAACCUUACCAGCGUUUGACAUGAGAAGUGCCGGUUACAGAAUGGUAACCUUCAGUUCGGCUGGCUUCUACACAGGUGCUGCAUGGCUGUCGUCAGCUCGUGUCGUGAGAUGUUGGUUAAGUCCCGCAACGAGCGCAACCCUUAUCGUUAGUUACUAACAGUUCGGCUGAGGACUCUAGCGAAACUGCCGGUGAUAAGCCGGAGGAAGGUGGGGAUGACGUCAAGUCCUCAUGGCCCUUACACGCUGGGCUACACACGUGCUACAAUGGCAAGUACAACGAGUCGCAAUACCGCGAGGUGGAG
rnacentral:rRNA from 1 species